CCUUCUUCCCAACCAUCCUACACUUGAAAUGUAUAGACUGUCAGAACAUGAAAUAGUGAAAGAUGAGGAGGAAUGGGAUGAUGAUACUGGAUAUGAUGGGGAUGAGCACAGUGGAUCAACAAGAUGGGACCAAACAAAUGAAUAUUUCCAGCAACAACUAAGUUGAAGCAUCACAAAGCUGUUGUCAGGAUUCAAGAUCGGUCAAUUAGUGAAACAGAACAAACAUAUUGUGAUCUAUGAAGCCAAGCAAAUCACAUUGACACCUUAUCUUUAUGUUCCCAGUUCUCACCCUGACCAUCCAACAUAUUCCGUUUUAUAUUUUCAUACCUAGAUCAGUCAUCAGUCUUCAAGGAAGAAAUGUAUAGUGAAUUGUAAAAUUAAUUAUGUCUAAGCAUUGUGACUCGAUAAAACUCAAAGUGCUGAAUCUAUCACCAUGUCAGACAGCAAGACUCACAUACUUCUGUCAAGGUAAAUUAAGGUGGUGAUUUCAAGCAUUGAAUCAAGCAUUUGAAUGUAUGAACUAAUGAUUCCAUCAUGCUAAUUUCAAACCAACGGUUGAAGCACACAUGGAAAGAUUGGUUAAUGCCCGCAACACCUAUCAUUAUCGGUGAGCAUGUAUCUCCCUAAAAUCAUUCUUGACAAAACAUACUUCUACAGCCAAUCAGGCUAUAAUCUAGAUUAUUACCUACAGAUCUGCGGUGCAUUCGUUCUCACAUUGACACUCGUGAAAAAAAAAAAAAAAAAAAAAAAAAAA